rnacentral:lncRNA from 1 species
AGGAGGCCGUGAGAAGGAGAGGAUGGCGUCGUUGGGGCGUACAGGAGAUCUAUGAGAGAGAGGGAGAAGGUUGUGUGCGGUGAGUGUGAGCACCAUGGAAGGUCACUGAGAGGAAGAGGGAGUGAGCAGUUUGGCGUGUGUGGGGAAAUCAUUGAUGAUGAAGCGAGUCGUGUGCAGGAGCGGGGGUGCGGAGAGAGUUGCGAGCGGAAUGAGCAGGAAGAACGAAUUCGGUGAGUGUCCGGUGAGAGGGGUGAGUGUGGGGAGUGUGACAGUGUGAGUUCGGAUUGUGCGAGGGUGAGAGGGACGUGCGUGGUGAGUGGGACGGUGUGAGUUCGGACUGUGUGAGGGAGGGGACUAUGGACUAGAAAUUGACAUGUAUGAAAAGUUUCGGGUGAGGGAAGAGGCUUAUGGAACCGUAGGGAGAGGUUGGUUUAGCGAGGGAUAAGAACAUAAUUGGUGGAGAUUGGGAUGGCAUAAGAGGGGACUAUAGAGUAUGGUUUAGGGCGAGAGAGUAGGGACGCGUUGGUAGGGGUAUAAUGGGAGUGUGGUGAGGGGAGAUGGUUUGGUAUAGUUACUAUAAAUUUAAAGGUUGGCGAGGGAAUAUCGCCGGCGUGUGCGAGAAGUCUUGGUGUGCGUGUGGCCUAAUAAGGUCGAGAGGUAGUGGAGGGAGCAUGAGUCGCUGAUGUUGGUGACGUGCGAGAACGGAUUGUGUGUGUGUAUGGCCUGUUGGGGUCGAGGUGUGGACGGGUUGUGUGUGUGCGUGGCCUAUUGGGGUCGAGGUGUGGACAGAUGGUGUGUGUGUGUGUGGCCUAUUGUGGUCGAGGUGUGGGGUAGUGAACAUGAGUCGCCGAUGUUGG